AGCUUCGUCGUCAGCAAGAAUUUGCAAAGCAGUUGGAAGAAUUCCAAAAAAGAGAUGCUGAGCUGAGGAAACGGAAGUCUACUGAAGUUCAUUCUCAUGGCGAAAAUGGAUACUCAAAUAGUGAAUCCCUGCAGAAGAGGCGCAGUCCAUCCCCUCCCGUUCCUGCAGUCAGGACAAAAGAGCUGAUGGAACGUACGAUCACCCCCAUACAGUCCCUGGCUCAAGUAAAACCAGAGAAUCUGUUCAGUUCUUUGGCAGAAAUUAGAAGACAAAUUCUGCAAAACCAAGAUAAAAAGCAAACAAAUGCUUCCUAUAAAGUGAUGAAUCGUCGGACAGUGGCAGAUGUUGAUGACGAAUCCGACGAAGAGGCCGUAUCUUAUUCCCGAGUGCCUUCAGUUGCAGAGUAAAUGAAUUUCAGUGCAAAAACAACAGGGACUAUAGUUUUGCAAUCAUGUGUGAUCUCAAGCUUCACAAGUGUUCUGUUUUGGUGUUGGAGUUUA